rnacentral:rRNA from 1 species
AUUGGGGGAGGCUACCAUGCAGUCGGACGGUAGCACAGAGGAGCUUGCUCCUCGGGUGACGAGUGGCGGACGGGUGAGUAGUGUCUGGGGAUCUGCCCGAUAGAGGGGGAUAACCUGUGGAAACGGUGGCUAAUACCGCAUAACGUCGCAAGACCAAAGAGGGGGACCUUCGGGCCUCUCUCUAUCGGAUGAACCCAUAUGGGAUUAUCUAGUAGGCGGGGUAGUGGCCCACCUAGGCGACUAUCCCUAUCUGGUCUGAGAGGAUGACCACCCACACUGGAACUGACACACGGUCCACACUCCUACGGGAGGCAGCAGUGGGGAAUAUUGCACAGUGGGCGCAAGCCUGAUGCACCCAUGCCGCGUGUAUGAAAAAGGCCUUCGGGUUGUAAAGUACUUUCAGCGGGGAGGAAGGCGGUGCGGUUAAUAACCGCGCCGAUUGACUUUACCCGCAAAAGAAGCACCGGCUAACUCCGUGCCAGCAGCCGCGGUAAUACGGAGGGUGCAAGCGUUAAUCGGAAUUACUGGGCGUAGAGCGCACGCACGCGGUCUGUUAACUCAUAUGUGAAAUCCCCGGUCUUACCCUGAGAACUGCAUUUGAAACUGGCGCGCUUGACUCUCGUAGAGGGGGGUAGAACUCCGGGUGUAGCGGUGAAGUGCGUAGAGAUCUGGGAGGAAUACCGGGUGGCGACGCGGCCCCGUGCACGAACACUGACGCUCAUGUGCAAAGCGUGGAGAGCAACAGGAUUAGAUACCCGUGAUAGUCCACGCCGUAAACGAUGUCGACUUGGAGCUGUGCCUUAGAGGCGUGCUUCCGGAACUAACGCGUUAAGUCACCGCUUGGGGAUUACGCCGCAAGUAAACUCAAUGAUGACGGCCGCAACGUGAAACUGGUAAUCAGCACCGGAGAACUUACAACG